AAACAUUAUGGUUUGGUUUUGACCUAAAAUCUCGCGAGAUCUCGUUUGCUGCUGAGUUCCUAGUUUCCCUGGUUGUCCCCCGGAAAAUACCGUGAGACGUUUAACGUUAGAGGACUACUCGGCUAAGCCCUCCUUUAUAAUCUAUCCCUGCUGGACAAGUGAAACUUUGCAGGAAGGCAUCUGUAAUCACGGUUGUAGCCACGCUCUGAAGUUUAAGAACUUCAUCUGAAUCAUGGGGAACAUUUUUGGGAAUUUGCUAAAGAGCCUCAUAGGGAAGAAGGAGAUGAGGAUCUUGAUGGUGGGGCUUGAUGCUGCAGGAAAAACAACAAUCCUCUACAAGCUCAAACUGGGGGAAAUAGUCACCACCAUCCCAACCAUUGGGUUUAACGUGGAGACGGUGGAGUACAAGAACAUCAGCUUCACUGUGUGGGAUGUGGGCGGACAGGACAAGAUCCGCCCCCUUUGGAGACACUACUUUCAGAACACACAGGGUCUAAUCUUUGUGGUGGACAGUAACGACAGAGAGCGUGUGAACGAAGCACGAGAGGAGCUGAUGAGGAUGUUGGCUGAGGACGAACUGAGAGAUGCAGUCCUCCUUGUGUUUGCCAACAAACAGGACUUACCGAAUGCCAUGAAUGCUGCCGAGAUCACAGACAAGUUGGGCUUACACUCCCUGCGCCACCGUAACUGGUACAUCCAGGCCACCUGCGCCACCAGCGGCGACGGCCUCUAUGAGGGUCUUGAUUGGCUGGCCAAUCAACUCAAGAACAAGAAAUAAGAAGAAAACUGGAACAAGCAGCCACACUCCUCCAAGUUUUCGUUUGUUUUGGGAAUGGGGCAGCGUAGGUACAGGGGUUUUGAUUAAUGGGUGAAAAGCAAGAUUCUGGCUUUGGGGAAGAUUUUAGGCUUUCAUUUUCAGUCUCUUAAGGUUCCUAAUAGUUUUCAGGGCUUAUUAAAAACAGAUUCUCAUGUACUUUAUAUUUAACCUCGCACACACACACACAGAAAUGCACACUAACCAUAAGCAAUCACAGCAGACACUUGCUUCUCCUGUGUCCACCUCUUGUAUUUAGGUACAAUGUACUGUAUGUUCGUCUCUAGGUGCUGUAAGAAGUCAUGUGUGACUCCACUGAGUCAGCAAUGAGUCAAAUAUGACUUUUUGUUGGUGUAUGUCUUUUAACUCAUCUAUGGACUUUCCGUCGUCCAUAAAAAGAAUGGUUGUGUGUCGUUACACUUCUUGUUUUUAUUUUUUUCCUAACAGGGCCAUGUUUGGAAACAAUCACAGCUGGCAGAUUCAUGUGACCAUAAUUCUACCUUCUAAUUUGUGAUCAAUGCUGAGGCACUUUAAUACUUAGAUAAAGUGUGUACGUGUGUGAGCGUGCGCAUAUGCUGUAUGUGUUUGUGCAAGCGGUCAGUAUUAAUCAUGAAAAAGACAACAGGACUAGAGUUUUCCCUCUCACACGUCCUCUUACUGCCUCAUUUUGGAAAUCUUUUUGAUAUUUGUGGCAUGUUUCUACUCCCCGUAUGGCAACCCGAAGUCUUGAAGCAGCCCUUCGCAACACAUUCUCGGCCGCCUGAGUUGCAUGCGUCCUGGUAGAUCUUGCUGACAUUGUUGCAUACUUUUCCAUCCUUGGAGCUGCAUGCAUGUUGACGCUGUUUGUAGAUUUUCUCUAACUGCCAUCAUCAUGUUACGAUGCUGUUAACAGUAGGAUGCAGAAACUAACCGAACCACCAAUUCCUGCAUUUAGUUGUCAACAUGCGCUUAGUAUAGUCAGCUUUAUGGUCUUUUUUUAAUGUGAAAGCAGUAUACAAAACACAACACACAUGACCUGCACAGCUGCUGCUCAUCUGCCUUCAUGUGUGUCCAUAUGAGUACUCAAACCACAUUAGGCUGCUCUCGCUUUGUGUGUUUUUGUCUCAGAUUUGCAUAUCGGGGGAUGAUAACUGUGUUACUGAAUGUGAAUAUUGUCGACGAAUCUAUAAAUGGCUGUAAUAUUUAUUUGACAUGCAUAUUCCUCUAUUUCAGUGAUAAUUAUGUAAAAGAAAGCAGGGUAAGCAGAUCAAUUCAGUCAUCGGCACAUACACGACUCACUAUUGAACAGCAGACGAGUUACUGUGUCACCACAGAUACCAGCAGAAUCCACAGACUUCUGUCAAUAAAACAACUUCUUGUCUGCCAUACAUGGGUACUACUACUCAUGUACCAGUGACAGUACAACAUACUGUAAAUCCACUCCACUAAGUUAUGAGUGCAUUGUUCAUAUUCAGCAUCUAUGUUAAAUCAUGACUUUGAUCGUUUGGGUUUUGUGGCCUUAGGUAUUUAGUGAUGACUUCUAAUUAAUUUCCUCUCAGCUAGUUCGGUUCUGAUUUAUCUAUAAAGAAUAAUUUACAGAUGUAUUCUCUAUGCCCUCAAAAGCACGGUGAUUAGGUGGUUUUGUGCUUUUGUUUUGCUAGUUUACUUGAUUCAUAUUUGGCGGUAGAUUUCCUGGGUUUUCUUUGGGUUGUAAAGAAACUUUGAUGUAGACUGUGUCUGUGAAACAAUGAUAAUCAGUGCGAACAAAAGAAAAUGUGAAAAAACAUUCUGUACCGUUAUAGUUACACAAGUAGAUUUUAAAACGGUGAAGACCAUGUUUCAGUGCUGAAUGCAAGGAUACAUCUGUUUGUGAUGUAACAACAAACAAAAUCCUGCUCUAUUACAAAUAAACCCAUUUUAUGUAUGA